rnacentral:snoRNA from 1 species
UGAAUCCAAAAUGAUAGUGUUUUGUGAGCAAAAGAUCAUGAUUAAUCCGGUUAUCUGAUGUCCGAGUUUGAAA